ensembl:piRNA 21ur-3114 ncRNA
UAGUAGUUUGUCGAUAUAUAU